GAUGAACGCUGGCGGCGUGCUUAACACAUGCAAGUCGAACGGGAUCCAAGGGGUGCUUGCACUUUUUGGUGAGAGUGGCGAACGGGUGAGUAACACGUGAGUAACCUGUCCUUUUCUUUGGGAUAAGCAUUCGAAAGGGUGUUUAAUACCUUAUGUUCUGUCUGCCUCGCAUGGGGUGGGUGGGAAAGGCUUUGGCCGGAUUUGGGUGGGCUCGCGGUCUAUCAGCUUGUUGGUGGGGUGAUGGCUUACCAAGGCUUUGACGGGUAGCCGGCCUGAGAGGGUGGUCGGUCACAUUGGGACUGAGGUACGGCGCAGACACCUGCGGGAGGCAGCAGUGGGGGAUAUUGCACAAUGGGCGAAAGCCUGAUGCAGCGACGCCGCGUGGGGGAUGAAGGCCUUCGGGUUGUAAACUUCUGUUGCUCUGAACAAGGCAUGCCAGUGGGUGUGUUGAGUGUAGGGGUUGAUUAGCGCCGGCUAACUACGUG
rnacentral:rRNA from 1 species